CGGCGAGUGAAGCGGCAACAGCUCAAAUUUGAAAUCUGGCCUUCGGGUCCGAGUUGUAAUUUGCAGAGGAUGCUUUUGGCGAGGUGCCUUCCGAGUUCCCUGGAACGGGACGCCUUAGAGGGUGAGAGCCCCGUACGGUUGGACACCGAGCCUCUGUAAAGCUCCUUCGACGAGUCGAGUAGUUUGGGAAUGCUGCUCUAAAUGGGAGGUAAAUUUCUUCUAAAGCUAAAUACCGGCCAGAGACCGAUAGCGCACAAGUAGAGUGAUCGAAAGAUGAAAAGCACUUUGAAAAGAGGGUUAAAUAGCACGUGAAAUUGUUGAAAGGGAAGCGUUUACGGCCAGACCUUCUCCUGGCGGAUCAUCCGGUGUUCUCACCGGUGCACUUCGCCAGGUUUAGGCCAGCAUCGGCUUCUGUAGGGGGAUAAAAGCAGUGGGAAAGUAGCUCUCUCGGGAGUGUUAUAGCCCUAAGCAUAAUACCUUUACGGGGGCCGAGGACCGCGCAAGGAUGCUGGCGUAAUGGUCGUCAACGACCCGUCUUGAAACACGGACCAAGGAGUCGAACAUUUGUGCGAGUGUUUGGGUGUUAAACCCUCACGCGUAAUGAAAGUGAACGGAGGUGAGAGCCCUCUAGGGGGUGCAUCAUCGACCGAUCCUGAUGUCUUCGGAUGGAUUUGAGUAGGAGCAUUAAUGUUCGGACCCGAAAGAUGGUGAACUAUGCGUGGAUAGGGUGAAGCCAGAGGAAACUCUGGUGGAGGCUCGCAGCGGUUCUGACGUGCAAAUCGAUCGUCAAAUCUGCGCAUGGGGGCGAAAG
rnacentral:rRNA from 1 species